UACGUAGGGCGCAAGCGUUGUCCGGAAUUAUUGGGCGUAAAGAGCUCGUAGGCGGUGUGUCGCGUCGGCCGUGAAAACCGGGGGCUUAACCCUCGGCGUGCGGGCGAUACGGGCAGACUUGAGUACUGCAGGGGAGACUGGAAUUCCUGGUGUAGCGGUGGAAUGCGCAGAUAUCAGGAGGAACACCGGUGGCGAAGGCGGGUCUCUGGGCAGUAACUGACGCUGAGGAGCGAAAGCGUGGGGAGCGAACAGG
rnacentral:rRNA from 1 species